UAUCGACUGGAGUUGUACUGGCCAACCUGACCUGACCGGCUCGAAAUAGUCAAUAGAUCAAUCUUAUUGAUUGUCAAAAGCGACGAAAGAUAUUCCUAUUAGGUCGUUACCCUUCAAGAGAAAGGCUGGAAGGUGCAGUGACUGAUUCGACGCGGUAGAAAAAACCACGAAUUAAUCCAAUUGUAAUGCUCACAAAUAAGAUAGAGAACCUGGGUGAGCAGAGUGCUUAGUUCAGUGAACGGCACUGGAGGAUCUAUCGGUCCGAGGUCGCGAUGUCGUCGGUGAAGAACUUGUGCUGAGCCUUGUCUCCCCGUAAUUCAUUAUAGUUCCCCAUUAGCUUGCCGGGGACGCCUCAUGGGGAGCACCUUCCAGGCGGAACACGAUGGUGGCCAUGUGUCCAUAUAACCCAUUCCGGUUUGGUUCCGAAAGGGUAAAUCCGGUGAUAGCGAUAAUCCUUAAGAAAACAGGUCUAUUAUUUGGAACUUCGAUGUCGGCUUUUGAAUUGAUGAAAAGAAUUUCAGAACUAAGAAGUUUAAGCUUGCCUUUAAUUAUGUAAUUGUUUGAAAUAAAGAAAUAUUUUGUGAAAGAGAAUUAUUUUUUUUAGAAGAUAUCUAAUCAACUUUACUUUUGCGAUGAAAUUUUCAAAAUGCAUGGGCAUCCCCAUGUCAAAAUAUACAGAAUUGACUAACUGGCUGAAAGCUUUCGAAUGUGUAAAAGCUUUUUGCUCACGCUCUGUGUAAAG